AAUGUAGCUUUAUUUUUAAAAUUUAAAGUUACAGCAAAAUUUUACCAAUCGGAAUGUAACUUUCUUUUUCAAAGCUAAAGCAAAAAAAAAUGAAAACUUCCUUUUUAUAUUUGUUUUAGUCUAAAAUGCUACAUCCCUAUUAUUUAGGCUUUAAAUAUUUUAAAGGAAAACAAAUAACUAGUACUUCUUAAAAUAACCUUAACAUAUACCGUUCUUCAUAUUUAAAUUAUUAUAACUGGAAUUUUCAUAAGUAAAAUUUAUUAUUAGAUAAUAAUUUUAUUAUUAAUUAUCAUUAAAUGGUUUUUAAUUAUUAAUCAUUAAGUUUUUGGGGUUUUUAAUAACAUAAAAGUUCUUUAUAUAUUACAUUAAAAUACUAUAGCCAGAAAUUUACAGCUACCGCUUAUCUAAUAUAUUGCCAAUCGUGUUUUAUUUUGAUAAAAUUACAGCCAGUAACUUACAGCUACAGUCACCAUAACUACAGAAAAAAAUCUCUGCAAAAAAUCUGUAGCAGCAAAUUUACAGCUACAGUCAAAACACAUACAACCCUAAUUUUAAAGCUAAAUUUUUAUAGUUACAGCCCAGCCAAUCA
rnacentral:lncRNA from 1 species